rnacentral:misc_RNA from 1 species
AAUAGUUAGGCUAACAUGUACAUUUACGUCGGAGAAAUGGAAAAGCAAUAGAAUAGCAUGACAGCAAAAAGAAAAGAAUUCUGGAAAUAGAGGGAGAAAAAAAAAAAUAAAAGAAAGAAAGAAUGAGGUCCGGGGAUAUGCAGGUUCUAUUUUGUAUGGGCCUGCAGGGCACUUUCACAAUCCGUUUCCAUUUUGAAAUUUGCUCAAUAUGUUUUGACUACAUUCUUUUCUGUCAAUG